CUGGAGCGUAGUCCCAAGUGCCACACCAUAAUGGUCCCCCCAGCAGUCAGCCCUACACCACGGUGAGUGGGACACGUGGCGGGCAUUGGUUGGCCUAGGGAUAUCCGCCGCCAUGACUGUGCUAGGCCCCGUCGCUUAUUUAAACCCCCUCCUUCCCUCUAGGGACUUCAUUUUGCCUGAGAGUCCAGACGACGCCUUUC
rnacentral:lncRNA from 1 species